rnacentral:rRNA from 1 species
AUUGAACGCUGGCGGCAUGCUUUACACAUGCAAGUCGAACGGUAACAGGCCGCAAGGUGCUGACGAGUGGCGAACGGGUGAGUAAUGCAUCGGAACGUGCCCAGUCGUGGGGGAUAACACAGCGAAAGCUGUGCUAAUACCGCAUACGAUCAAUGGAUGAAAGCGGGGGACCGUAAGGCCUCGCGCGAUUGGAGCGGCCGAUGUCAGAUUAGGUAGUUGGUGGGGUAAAGGCUCACCAAGCCAACGAUCUGUAGCUGGUCUGAGAGGACGACCAGCCACACUGGGACUGAGACACGGCCCAGACUCCUACGGGAGGCAGCAGUGGGGAAUUUUGGACAAUGGGCGCAAGCCUGAUCCAGCAAUGCCGCGUGCAGGAAGAAGGCCUUCGGGUUGUAAACUGCUUUUGUACGGAACGAAACGGUCUGGGUUAAUACCCUGGGCUAAUGACGGUACCGUAAGAAUAAGCACCGGCUAACUACGUGCCAGCCGCCGCCGUAACAC